UUGAGCCGUGUGCUGCGAAAGUCGCAAGCACGGUUCUUAGGGGGCCCCGGGUCAGAUAAUGACUCCGGGGCCACCCGAC
rnacentral:ncRNA from 4 species